UAGAGACGGGGUUUCACCGUGGUCUCGAUCUCGUGACCUCUUGAUCCGCCCGCCUCGGCCUCCCAAAGUGCUGGGAUUACAGGCGUGAGCCACCGCGCCCGGCGCAGGGCGUGCCCAGGGCUUCUGAUGCCAGAGCCCAGGAAUGAGCUUUUGCCUUUUGGAUUCAGGGCUUCCCUGUACUCUCACAGAGUCAGAAUGGCCGUAUGUUUACAUGUGAAGCCCUGGGGCUCCCUGGCCCCUUCCUGGGCCGUUCUCCACCUUUUCUCUUCUCACCCUUUGCUGUUCCCUGAGUCAUGCAAUCCAUAGUGAAGAGGCCAGAGGCCCGGAUGGGGAAGUGCCGGGGGCAGCCGUGGCAGCUUCAUCACAGAGCUCCUGGGGACUGAUGCACACAGCUGUGGAAAUGAUAGUAAGGCUCUUUGUUAGAGCUCUUGUGGCUGCCUGGAGAUGAUGCUGCCUUGGCCAUGGCCUGCUGUUAUCCUCGGGGAGCUGGGACGUGGGCACAGGGGCAUGCAUUUCCCCCUCAGCACUAGCUCCAAGGGACAAUGUGCAGCACUUGCUGAGGGCAGAAGAAAAUGGAAAACAAAGACAAACAAACCAAAGAAGGCGGAUGAAGUAGAAGCCAUUCAUUCUUUCCAUGAACAUUGACCCUAUAUCCUGAAGGUGGAUCCAAUGAAAAAAGAGAAGCAGCAAGAGUGGCUUCUGUUUCCCUGGCUGGACUCUGAGUAAUAUAGCAGCAAUAAUUUCCCAAGGGAAAGGAGGAAGACGGGUUGGCUCCAAUGAAGACACUUAUGAUGUGAAGAGUUCCCGUAACAGUUCACCAUCUCUGGGGCAGUUAUACAACAGGGAUCCCUGACUUCUUCAGAACCGAGAGUUCAAAUCAGGACUAUCUGGUGAUGAAUCUAUCCACUAGAAGCUGAUACUUCAGAUUAUGACAAGGGUUGAAAGAGCCUCACCAUAUUGGCUGCUUAAGAACAAAAGAAGGUAUUGAUAAGGAGAUAUGAAGAGUCAGGUCACUAGAAAACAGAAUAUCAUGUGAUUGUGUUUGACUGCACAACUGGUCUCUAUCAAUAUCUAUGCCUGAAGAGGAAGAAUGUUUGCCUAGUAAGUAUAAUAUGCUAAGAUCAACAGAACUUUGGGCUGGUCUUCUAAGGAAAUGGUGUCACCCUUUUAAAAGAAAACAUCAAAGCAAGCAACCAACAAUUGCAAUAGAAGGCCAACACUGUUCCUUCUAAAAACAGAUUAGAAAGUGUGUGUAUAUAUGUGACUUUAUUCAUUUUCAAAACAGCAUUUUGAGGCCAUUAAUAUUGGCAAAUCUUGCAUAGACACAAGUGGUUGUAAUUCUUACUACCAUUAAGACAGUAGAUGGAUGGCUUUGAAUUUGGGCCAAGUGAGCAAAGGCAGCCCCUCCCUCUCUACGUUCCAGCCGUUUUGCUCACUGUGAGGACUCAGCUGUGACACGCCAUUGUCCAUCACUAUAACUGUGGGCAUUCUUUUGAAUCAUCACUAAUCAAAGAUGUUUGUCUCCAGAGCUCUUGGCAUCAUAUAAUGUCUAGCAACCUCAUGUGAACUAUAAAGAACCUUGGCACCAAGGGUGCAGCAUAGCUCCAUAACAAAAAUGAAUAAAUUUUAGGCAUCAACAGUGCAUUCAAGGGGGGGAGGAGCCAAGAUGGCUGAAUAGGAACAGCUCCGGUCUACAGCUCCCAGCGUGAGCGACGCAGAAGACAGGUGAUUUCUGCAUUUCCAUCUGAGGUACCGGGUUCAUCUCACUAGGGAGUGCCAGACAGUGGGCGCAGGACAGUGGGUGUGCUCACCGUGCGCAAGCCGAAGCAGGGCAAGGCAUUGCCUCACCUGGGAAGCGCAAGG
rnacentral:lncRNA from 10 species